AUUGAACGCUGGCGGCAUGCCUUACACAUGCAAGUCGGACGGUAACAGGUCUUCGGAUGCUGACGAGUGGCGAACGGGUGAGUAAUACAUCGGAACGUGCCUAGUAGUGGGGGAUAACUACUCGAAGGAGUGGCUAAUACCGCAUGAGAUCUACGGAUGAAAGCAGGGGAUCGCAAGACCUUGUGCUACUAGAGCGGCCGAUAGCAGAGUAGGUAGUUGGUGGGAUAAAAGCUUACCAAGCCGAAGAUCGGUAGCUGGUCUGAGAGGACGAUCAGCCACACUGGGACUGAGACACGGCCCAGACUCCUACGGGAGGCAGCAGUGGGGAAUUUUGGACAAUGGGCGAAAGCCUGAUCCAGCAAUGCCGCGUGCAGGAUGAAGGCCUUCGGGUUGUAAACUGCUUUUGUACGGAACGAAAAGCCCCGGGUUAAUACCCUGGGGUCAUGACGGUACCGUAAGAAUAAGCACCGGCUAACUACGUGCCAGCAGCCGCCGUAA
rnacentral:rRNA from 1 species